rnacentral:lncRNA from 1 species
GGAUGAACUAAAUGAUUUCCCGAAGAUAUUUCUAAUUCCUGAAUGUGAUGACUAAGCUAUUAUUGUAGAAUUAGGCAUGGUAUAUGUAUCAGACCAAAAAAAAAUGGCUUCUGAAAAGGAUAUAACAAUCACACAAAAGUAGAUAUUGUAAAGAAAGGGUUUUUCUUAAUUUUCUUUCCAUUCGGAAGAUAUUUUCACCUGGCUUAUCGUAUGAACUCUGGCACUAGAAGUCUGUGAAUUGCUUCUAACCACAGGAACUAUGUGUCACUCAUCUGUGAAAAAGUCUGAAUCUGAAAGUGCAAAAAAAAGAUAAGGUUGGCUCACUGAGGGACCUACCCCACACUAGCUUGUGAACAUUGCACAUAGGAGUUUAGAGUCAAAAUUCUUCCAGGAUACCUUUCCUACCGACUUGUCAUUGGUCUAGUACCACUAUAUAUGUAGGAGAUAGACGGCAGACUGAUCGAAUGGAUGGAAUGCCUAGCAGAAAUUGAGUAUGAAAUAGGUGCACCAAAAAGAGUCUACAUGGAAAAAAAAAAUGUUCCUCUGCUUGGAAUCACUCUCAGUACUGUGCAGUGGACAAGGUCAAUAGCAAUCUUGUAAAGAGCUAAACUUUUCCUGAGAAAUAAUAACUGCUCCCACCUAUUGAGUUAUAUUGUAGACACCAUUUUCUCAAGUCAAUUUAUUUAAUCCUAACAACUUUAUAAGGUAAAUAUUGUUCUUAAACUCCAUUUUACAAAUGAAAAAACUGAACUUAAAUCCUGCUAAAACCUAAUAGCUAGUAGGUGAUGAUAACACAAUUUGAACUCAGGCAGACUGACUCCAGAGCCCUUCCUUCCUCUCGGGAGCUGAUACCAGAGUCAAAAAGAGGAAUAAGAGGAAACAAACUUCCUGCAAUUGCUGUGCUUUCCAGACACAAUAUGUGGCCAUCUUAUCCACUAUUCAGACAUGAGGCACUCUUAAACUAAGAUGCAGAUCUGAUUGCAACACCAAUAAAAUUUCAAGAGUAGCCAACGACAUAAAGAUUAAUGGUAUUUACUGACUAGAAGAAAGGGAAUUUUUCACGGGUUGACAAAACCAUUCAGAGCAAAACUGUGCCAUUCCAACAAAGAAAAGGAUAGGAGAAAAUGAAGCCAAAGAAAAGAGUGAGUGAGAACGAAAAAAAGCAAGAAAUUAAAAGGCAGAAAAGUGGAAUUAGGAGAAAAUAUGAUGAAGAGUAAAGGCAGUGACCAAAAACAAUGACAGUGAGGAAUUGAGAUGACCAUGAUAAAGAGAAAGGGAACAAAACACAGGGUAAAAUAGCAUAGCUCCUGGGGACUCUGGUUGUGUCAAGCUCUCUUGAAGAUAUAACAGGUAAAAAUGGGACAAGUUCAUUUCAACAGGAAAGCCGCAAUAGUCCAGCAGCACUGUCUAAUAGAAUUUUGUGAUAAUAAAAAUAUUCGAUAUUGGCACUUCCCAGUAUGGUGGCCACUAGCUACAUCUGGCUACUGAACCCUCAAAAUGUUACUAGUGCAAAUGAGGAAUUAAGUUUUUAAUGUUUUAAAGUUUAGUUAAUUUGAAUGUAAAUAGCCACAUGUGGCUAGUGACUCCAGUAAUGAACAGCAAAGGUCUAUGGCUUCCAGGCGGCAAAGUGAUUCUAGGGACUUCUCUAAAAAAGUA